CCUGCCAGCCAAAAACCAAAAACCCAAACCAAACGUGAGGACAGCACAGCUUCCUGCCCCACUGUACAGCAAAUCAUUUCACAAAGAACAGGAAUCAACACGGAAUUUGUUCUGUCCCCCAGGAAUCAGCAGCACCACCUCCCCUGCUGAGGGUGGAGGGAGGACUCUGCUGCUCCAUCAAAGGGAAGAUAAAGUCACCCCGUCAAGAAAAUGCAAUUUCUCCUCCCUUUGCUCUGACAGGAAUCCAAAAUGACAGCACUGUUCUAGAAGCUUUUCUCCAUGACACACUUUACAGUGAGCAACAAUUUCUUGUUUAAUAAUUAAAACCAUUUCCUGGGUAAUCAGAACAGUCCUCUGGUAUCUGAAAAAAAUAACUUCAUUUCAUCAAUGAGAGCACGUGGACAAAGUUAAAUCCCCUCUCCAAAGCCUCUCCAAAACCUAAAAUCUCCUGAUGUCAGGAAAUGUCCUUUUCCUACACCUUUCCCAUAGGUAGGAGUACUUGCAGGAGUAGAAACAUUAAGGAAGACAAAAAAAAUGCAAAUAAGCAAGAGACUAAAUAAAAAACAUCAGGGAGAGUAUUUUUUAUACAAUGGAAAAGAUUUUACUGGAGUGGACCUGCCACACAUCCCUGCAAAACUCCUGAGGUUAUCCCACUGCUCUUAGCUGAGAGCAAAACAGGUUAAUUGCACCAGAUCUGGGUUUGGAAAGAGUGAUGGUUUGUGACACAACACUAAAAGGAGGUAGCAAAUGUAUGAUGUUUCAUUGGCAAUAAUCUCAUUUGAAUAUUUGCAUAAUGAGGGGGGAUUAACUGGGUUAAUGACAGUGACUGCCCCAGUCACACCAUCCCAAAUCCAUGGGGAUCUCUGCCCAGCAUGGCAGGAAGGAUGGAAAUUUGGGAGAACAGGCAGCUGGUGGAAACCUCAGUUCUUGUGCUUGCUGAUUCAUGCAAGGAGGGAAGAGAAAAGGAACAAAAACGCGCCAGCAUGGUGAAAACAAAAGGCACCAUCUGGCUCUGGGGAGAUCUGGGCUCAUCCAAACAGCACCAGGACACACAGACACCCAGCCAAGCUCUGGUGACUGGGAGCAACAUUCCAGCCCUGGGUUUUGAUCCCACAUUGCUGAGGGAUCAAACCACCCAGGCCACAAACACUGCUCCAGCACCUGACCCCACAGCCCAGGGGAUGGGGGGCCUCCAGCAAGGACAGAGCAGCGCUGGCAGAGAAAAAGAGAGUUUGGAAAGUCAACUCAAAUCCUUGGAUGAAUGGUGAAUCAAACAUGGAGUGAGGACACACAGAGAACUCGAGAUUGGGUCAAGUUGGGGCUGUCUGAGCCUCACUGCAAAACAAAAUCAGGGCAGCAGUGACACAGACAACACUGGGCUAUAGAAGCUACUGCUAUUAUUUUGCAUUUCUUCCUCUUUUUUAAAUUAAUAUUUCAUAAUAGUUCUGCUGUUUUAAUCAUAAAGCUCAUGGUUAAUUCUAUUUAUUUUCUCAGAUAACUGAUUUUUCAUUACUUCACCCAAAUCAAUUCAAAACACCUGAUUACUGAGCAAGGCAAAAGUCUCCAACAGCCCCCUGACAUCAGGAUGAGACAGGUGAAACUCAGAAACAGAAAUGCUGAGCUGGGCUUCUCUACCAGGUGAUUUGUCCACCUUCCCCCGUAAGAAAACUGCCCAGCAGAUGUCACUUUAGCAAGGAAGGUUUGUGCAGUUACCUGCUGAGAUUGCUGCUGUGGUGGAGAGGAUGUAGCCAAUGCUGGAGAUCUGAGCUGAGUCAUAGAGCUGGGAGGCUUGAGCUAAAAACCUGCAACACAAUCACAGGCAACAGGGGCUGAUUGGGAAGGAUCCUUUUUUUGGAAACACCUUUCAAAAGUGAUGCAUACAUUUAAGGAAAUUCAUUCUUUUUCUCACUGAGCAGCAGCAAGCCUUGGAAUGAAUAAAAAGGACAGAAGAGGGAGGUUUGUGGCUGCACUGAAAUUACUGCCCCAACCUCAGGGCCAGAGUGUCCCUCAUAUUUUGAGAAGCCUUUUACCCCUGCUGCUACCAGCUUUUUUAUGUUAUUGCAAGUACAAAGGGGAAAAAACCCUAAAAAUAGACACAGUGAUCAACAACAGUGAUCCUGCACUUUGAUUUUAGGCAGACAGAUACUGCAUGUGACUGACCACCAUUCCAGUCCUAAAAUUGUUUGGCAAAUCCUUGGCUGGUGGCAUUAAACCACAUGGCAGUGUCACUGUGGAAAAGGAAUGACCCCCCAGGCUCCUGGACAGAUCACAGGAAAGGAAGGAUAAUUCUCUACAUUUUAAGGGGGAUUUUUGGCAUGGUACCAAAGAGCUCCCCACCCACACCCCAGAGAAUGGCAGAGAAGGAGAGGAGUCCUUACGUGGC